rnacentral:rRNA from 1 species
UACGUAGGGGGCGAGCGUUGUCCGGGUUUACGGGGCGUAAAGCGCUUGUAGGCGGUCCACCAAGUUUGGGGUGACAGUUGCCGACUUAAUCGGCAAAGUGCCUCAAAGACUGGCGGACUUGAGGGCCACAGAGGGACAUGGAACUCCAGGUGUAGUGGUGAAAUGCGUAGAUAUCUGGAAGAACACCAAAGGCGAAGGCAGUGUCCUGGGUGGUCGCUGACGCUGAGAGGCGAAAGCCAGGGGAGCGAACGGG